rnacentral:rRNA from 1 species
GCCUUUNCGGCCGCGAMUUCGCCCUUUGCCAGCAGCNCGCGGUAAUACGGAGGAUCCAAGCGUUAUCCGGAAUCAUUGGGUUUAAAGGGUCCGUAGGCGGUUUAAUAAGUCAGUGGUGAAAGCCCAUCGCUCAACGGUGGAACGGCCAUUGAUACUGUUAAACUUGAAUUAUUAGGAAGUAACUAGAAUAUGUAGUGUAGCGGUGAAAUGCUUAGAGAUUACAUGGAAUACCAAUUGCGAAGGCAGGUUACUACUAAUGGAUUGACGCUGAUGGACGAAAGCGUGGGUAGCGAACAGGAUUAGAUACCCUGGUAGUCC